rnacentral:siRNA from 1 species
UGAAUAACCUACCACAUCUCC